rnacentral:lncRNA from 1 species
AGGAGUAGAAAGUUGAGGUAAAUGUGGAGAAGGGCCCGGUCAAGUCUGAGUUCGUUGGGACCGUGGACGGCAUUUGGUGGGAGAAAAGAGUAAACAGAUUACAGGUUACAUGCUGGUUAUGGAAUAAUCGUGGACGCGCCGCCCGCAGGCUCUACUCUGUGUGUGUGUGUGUGUGUGUGUGUGUGUGUGUGUGUGUGUGUGUGUGUGUGUGUGUGUGUGUGUGUGUGUGUGUGUGUGUGUGUGUGUGUGUGUGUUAGGAACUGAAAGAACAGUUCUGCCAUUGAGGCGCGCGCGUGAUUCACUUUUUCCAUAAACUCUUCGCCGUAGCUGCAUAUCGCGCGCAGGACUCGUUUUUUUUGGACUUCGCUGAAGAACUCGGUGUCUGCGUGUUGGGUUUACGUGAUCGGACGCCUGCAGGGAAGCAUGUUCUGUGGCGCGUGUGGGCUGGACGAACCCGGUUCGGGGGACACGCGCUGAUGGAUCUCCGGGUUCUGUGCUCGCUGCUCUGCGGAUUCGCGCUGCCCGCCUUUCUACUUGCAGCCUGUCUGUUUCGCUACAAUGUCCUGUCCUUAGUCUACCUUCUGUACCUGCUGCUUCUGCCAUGGUUCCUGUGGCCCAUUAAGCACCCACUACUAGCCACUGGUUGCGGCCUCCAUCUGCGAGAAGAAUGGAAAUUUGACAGGUCAUGUAGAGAUGAUGAGGAAACAUGGUGGGAAGAUUGUGAGCGGUGGACCGCCGUGAACCUAUGGGCUUGUUUAUCUAGCAAAUCAAUGCUUUAAGGCUCAAAUGAAGCCCCAGCCCAUAUCACUUCAUGUUGAGAGUGAUUGGGCCUGAUGCCCAGGGUACUUUCUGUGGUUGACGCAGACACUCUCAGUUUUGUGUUAUGUGGGGCAGUGGUGGCCUAGCGGUUAAGGAAGUGGCCCCGUAAUCAGAAGGUUGAAUCCCGAUCCGCCAAAGUACCACUGAGGUGCCACACACUGCUCCCUGGGCGCCUGUCAUGGCUGCCCACUGUUCAAUCAGGGUGAUGGGUUAAAUGCAGAGGACAAAUUUCACUGUGUGCACCGUGUGCUGUGCUGCUGUGUAUCACAAGUGACAAUCACUUCACUUCAGGAUAAACUACAGAAGCCCCAGCAGUGGUGAAGUAAUUUCAACAAUCUAAUUAUGAAACUGUACUA